rnacentral:lncRNA from 1 species
GUUUGCCUGUGUGUGAGCAUCCAUGUGCAUAAGUGAAGCUGCACACAUGUGCUCAUACAUGUGAAGGCCUGCAGUUGACGUCAGGUGUCAUACUCUACCACUCUUUGUCUUAUGUAUUGAGGCAGGCUCUCUCAGCUCUGCCUCCCAAGGGCUGGGAUUAUGGACGGACUGCUGGGCUACUUGCCACAGCUUCCCUGCUUUUACAUGAGUUUCAAGAAUCAGAAUUCUGGUCCUCCCACCUGCAUGACAAGUACUUUAUCCGCCUAGCCAUCUUCCCAGCCCUUAUGGGAUUGUAAGGACUUGUUGCAUCUCGUAAGGACAUCUGAAGCCAUGUCCUUAUCCUCUACCCUCUUCUGCCCAUCACAAACAUUCUUCGUUCUGACUCAGGAUCCACACUCCAGUCUGCCUGCUGAAACAAUUGUUCUUUGGACUGUCAUUGACAAUGAAUUCCUUUAAAUCAUCUAAGAAAACAUGUGUAAUCCACUGGAAAUUUCAAGGCAUUGAGUCAUCAUCACUCGCCUUGUCCCCCUCAAAUUCCCAUCUCUUAUGUAAGGCUGAGUCACAUUUCAUGAGGUCCGGGCACUGAAGAAAGGAACUGGAAAACUCUCAAGGUGUGUGUGUGUGUGUGUGUGUGUGUGUGUGUGUGUGUGUGCGCGCGCGCGCGCGCGCUCGAGUGUGUGCAUCUUUGAGGCGCUGGCAGCAGCUGUCUUGCACGAGACCCCACAUCCUCUGAUCUCACUCUCUCUGCUUCAUGUUCUACCCAGGGAAAUGUCUGAUGGAGUUUGCAAGAGUCAACUGCUGUUCUGCUCCCAAGCUCAGGAACAUUGUGACUGGUGCCAGGACAGGCCCAUGAAAUGAACAAAGGGACAAAGACAACAGAAGGAUAAAUGACAGCAACAGAGUCAAGGGGGGCCAAAACUCGGAUGGAUGCAGGGUCACUGACUUCAGCAACUAGGAGGCACAGACACACAGUGACCUGUGCAGCCAGAGACCAGUUCAAGAAGUCAAUCUGGGCUCACAGGAGUCAAUCUGCAAGGUUCCUGAUGCCUGGGCUAGAGCGAGGGUUUAAGGGGAAGUGAGGCACACAGCUCAAUUGCAGAGAUCCUAGACCUCCUUCCCUCCCUCCCUCCCUCCCUCCCUCCUCCCUCCCUCCUCCCUCCCUCCCCUCCCUUCUUCCCUCUCUCCCACCUUCCCUUCCUCCUGCUUCACUGCCUCGUACAGUCUCAAGCAAGUCACUGCUCAGAGUGAAGCCCAGGGCAUAGGCUCUGAGGUGUCAUAGGAACAUGGCCGGGGCUGCUCAGCAUCAAGUCAGAAUUGGUUCCUUCAGCAGAGUGGGAUAAUGGAAUCAUUCUUUGUAAAUAAAGACAUCGAAGACAGAGGUUAGAGCUGAAAA